rnacentral:tRNA from 2 species
GGAAGCGUGUCCGAGCGGCCGAAGGAGGCGGUCUUGAAAACCGUUGUGCGGCAACCCCGCACCGUGGGUUCGAAUCCCACCGCUUCCG